GGCUUAUUUAUUGAAAUUGAGGCCUGCCUACAACUUGAUUUGAGUAACUGAAAGCACUUUUACAUUGGUUCUCUGGGUCUGUUUUUUUUCCUUUUUUUGUAAUGAGUCAAAUCCUGUGAAGUUUCAAACUAAUUCUUAGUCUGUUCUUAUGUUGUGCUGUUACAAAACUUUCACGGGUAUGACUGUCCCAAGCCAAUAGUUCAGUGGUUGUUGUUAAUUUUGUCAAGUGGCAAUCAUAUCACAUCGGACAACAUACAGUAUUUGUUUGAUCUUUUCAGCCUACUUUUCUGUUCUUGGAAAGGAGUAUUCUAGUCUUAGAUGCAGGAUUUGUUUUAUUGUUACUGGUUUUGAAUUAGCUGUCAUCAUAAACUGUUAGUCCUGUCAGAUCUGUGCUUAGUGUCUUUUUUGUGGGUAUGUAAAAGUACCCUGCCAAGUUCACUCUGUGUUGGUUUCUGCUUGUUUGCAUGUGAUAGUCCUUUUCAACUGUUCCUAUGUUAGUUGUACUGUUAUAUUACUGUUUCAGGUUUAGGGAGGGUUGACACCUUCAAAGUAGUUUAACCCCCG
rnacentral:lncRNA from 1 species